rnacentral:rRNA from 1 species
UGCGUAGGCGGGCUAAUUAGUCAGUGGUGAAAACCUGCAGCUUAACUGUAGACUUGCCAUUGAUACUGUUAGUCUUGAGUACGGUCAAGGUAGGCGGAAUGUGUAAUGUAGCGGUGAAGUGCUUAGAUAUUACACAGAACACCGAUUGCGAAGGCAGCUUACUGGGCCAUUACUGACGCUGAGGCACGAAAGCGUGGGGAGCGAACAGGAUUAGAUACCCUGGUAGUCC